CGCUUCAACAAACAAACAGCAACACCAUCGCAAGUGCAACAGCUGAACUAAUCUUCAACAGGAUUGUAAUUAACACAUGUAGAACGCUGUACUAUCAAACAUCCAUGAAU